rnacentral:rRNA from 1 species
CGAGUGGCGGACGGGUGAGGAAUACAUCGGAAUCUACUCUGUCGUGGGGGAUAACGUAGGGAAACUUACGCUAAUACCGCAUACGACCUACGGGUGAAAGCAGGGGAUCUUCGGACCUUGCGCGAUUGAAUGAGCCGAUGUCGGACUAGCUAGUUGCGGGGUAAAGGCCCACCAAAGGGCGACGAUCCGUAGCUGGUCUGAGAGGGGAUCAGCCACACUGGAACUGAGACACGGUCCAGACUCCUACGGGGGCAGCAGUA